rnacentral:sRNA from 1 species
CACAUCUAAGGCUAUCUACACAUCCUUGGGUUUUACAGAUAGAUCAGUGUCCUCAGAAUGAGGCAGCCUGUCAUACUCCUAGACUGUCUCCUCCAUUUAGUUUGUGUUUUUUCUCAAAACCUCUGACCCCUCCCUAGGUUCCAACAAUGUGUCCUUACUCACACAGGCAAUUAUCCCAGAAAUAUUUAUGAUGAGCCAGUCACCCUGGGAUACGAGGGUGAGCAGGACAUCCUCAGCUCUGCCUUCACGGGGAGCCUGUUCUUGAGGAGGAAACAGACAAGAGAAUAAAGCAGGCGCACCAUGCUUUAAUUAUAACCUGUGACCCCUUGGGCAACGGCUAUGACAGGGCUCCAGAAGACAACAGAGGUGUCAGUAUUGGGGGUGGCUCAUCACGCAGCAUGUGAUUAAGUGGGAAUCUUUGGAAAGACAGAACCAGGAGGAUCCACAGUAAUCCUCAGUGGGACCUUGUACGGAGGAAGCGAGUGGGGGAGUGGGGGAGGGGUGUGAAGGGCACCCUGUCAGGUCACUUUCCUGUCUAGAUUCUCUCCCACUCCAACACUGCUGAGCGCCUAAGGACUCAACCACAGAGACGAUCCUGUGUGGCUUCCUCCCGUGUGUUUCCCUAGCGGCUUAUUUUUGGCUGCUGCUGCCUCUGACAUUUCUUGCAUGCCCAGACGGAGCCUUCGGAAGCCUCGCCCACCCCUGUCACUCUGGGCCAGCCAGCGGUUCUCGACCUACGGGUCCUGACCAUCGGAAAACAAACAGAUUCUGAGGCAAUGGUUCCUUAAAGCUUCUUGGGAUCAGUGAACACUGUAAAAUCCUCCUGAUUGCAGAUCGAGCUGCAGUUCCGAAAUGCUUUCUGAAGCAUGAGCUAUGUGACAGGUAAAGUCAAAACACAAAGUUAAGAAAUUGCAGGUCCCUCUCCUCCUCCUCCCUGACCCAAAUACUGACAUGCCCAGACCACUCACAUGAUUUCCCUGCACACCAGGCACCCGGAUUUCUUCCCAUUCUA